rnacentral:rRNA from 1 species
AGCCCAGAGCCUGAAUCAGUGUGUGUGUUAGUGGAAGCGUCUGGAAAGGCGCGCGAUACAGGGUGACAGCCCCGUACACAAAAAUGCACAUGCUGUGAGCUCGAUGAGUAGGGCGGGACACGUGGUAUCCUGUCUGAAUAUGGGGGGACCAUCCUCCAAGGCUAAAUACUCCUGACUGACCGAUAGUGAACCAGUACCGUGAGGGAAAGGCGAAAAGAACCCCGGCGAGGGGAGUGAAAAAGAACCUGAAACCGUGUACGUACAAGCAGUGGGAGCACGCUUAGGCGUGUGACUGCGUACCUUUUGUAUAAUGGGUCAGCGACUUAUAUUCUGUAGCAAGGUUAACCGAAUAGGGGAGCCGAAGGGAAACCGAGUCUUAACUGGGCGUUAAGUUGCAGGGUAUAGACCCGAAACCCGGUGAUCUAGCCAUGGGCAGGUUGAAGGUUGGGUAACACUAACUGGAGGACCGAACCGACUAAUGUUGAAAAAUUAGCGGAUGACUUGUGGCUGGGGGUGAAAGGCCAAUCAAACCGGGAGAUAGCUGGUUCUCCCCGAAAGCUAUUUAGGUAGCGCCUCGUGAAUUCAUCUCCGGGGGUAGAGCACUGUUUCGGCAAGGGGGUCAUCCCGACUUACCAACCCGAUGCAAACUGCGAAUACCGGAGAAUGUUAUCACGGGAGACACACGGCGGGUGCUAACGUCCGUCGUGAAGAGGGAAACAACCCAGACCGCCAGCUAAGGUCCCAAAGUCAUGGUUAAGUGGGAAACGAUGUGGGAAGGCCCAGACAGCCAGGAUGUUGGCUUAGAAGCAGCCAUCAUUUAAAGAAAGCGUAAUAGCUCACUGGUCGAGUCGGCCUGCGCGGAAGAUGUAACGGGGCUAAACCAUGCACCGAAGCUGCGGCAGCGACGCUUAUGCGUUGUUGGGUAGGGGAGCGUUCUGUAAGCCUGUGAAGGUGUGCUGUGAGGCAUGCUGGAGGUAUCAGAAGUGCGAAUGCUGACAUAAGUAACGAUAAAGCGGGUGAAAAGCCCGCUCGCCGGAAGACCAAGGGUUCCUGUCCAACGUUAAUCGGGGCAGGGUGAGUCGACCCCUAAGGCGAGGCCGAAAGGCGUAGUCGAUGGGAAACAGGUUAAUAUUCCUGUACUUGGUGUUACUGCGAAGGGGGGACGGAGAAGGCUAUGUUGGCCGGGCGACGGUUGUCCCGGUUUAAGCGUGUAGGCUGGUUUUCCAGGCAAAUCCGGAAAAUCAAGGCUGAGGCGUGAUGACGAGGCACUACGGUGCUGAAGCAACAAAUGCCCUGCUUCCAGGAAAAGCCUCUAAGCAUCAGGUAACAUCAAAUCGUACCCCAAACCGACACAGGUGGUCAGGUAGAGAAUACCAAGGCGCUUGAGAGAACUCGGGUGAAGGAACUAGGCAAAAUGGUGCCGUAACUUCGGGAGAAGGCACGCUGAUAUGUAGGUGAAGUCCCUCGCGGAUGGAGCUGAAAUCAGUCGAAGAUACCAGCUGGCUGCAACUGUUUAUUAAAAACACAGCACUGUGCAAACACGAAAGUGGACGUAUACGGUGUGACGCCUGCCCGGUGCCGGAAGGUUAAUUGAUGGGGUCAGCGCAAGCGAAGCUCUUGAUCGAAGCCCCGGUAAACGGCGGCCGUAACUAUAACGGUCCUAAGGUAGCGAAAUUCCUUGUCGGGUAAGUUCCGACCUGCACGAAUGGCGUAAUGAUGGCCAGGCUGUCUCCACCCGAGACUCAGUGAAAUUGAACUCGCUGUGAAGAUGCAGUGUACCCGCGGCAAGACGGAAAGACCCCGUGAACCUUUACUAUAGCUUGACACUGAACAUUGAGCCUUGAUGUGUAGGAUAGGUGGGAGGCUUUGAAGUGUGGACGCCAGUCUGCAUGGAGCCGACCUUGAAAUACCACCCUUUAAUGUUUGAUGUUCUAACGUUGACCCGUGAUCCGGGUUGCGGACAGUGUCUGGUGGGUAGUUUGACUGGGGCGGUCUCCUCCUAAAGAGUAACGGAGGAGCACGAAGGUUGGCUAAUCCUGGUCGGACAUCAGGAGGUUAGUGCAAUGGCAUAAGCCAGCUUGACUGCGAGCGUGACGGCGCGAGCAGGUGCGAAAGCAGGUCAUAGUGAUCCGGUGGUUCUGAAUGGAAGGGCCAUCGCUCAACGGAUAAAAGGUACUCCGGGGAUAACAGGCUGAUACCGCCCAAGAGUUCAUAUCGACGGCGGUGUUUGGCACCUCGAUGUCGGCUCAUCACAUCCUGGGGCUGAAGUAGGUCCCAAGGGUAUGGCUGUUCGCCAUUUAAAGUGGUACGCGAGCUGGGUUUAGAACGUCGUGAGACAGUUCGGUCCCUAUCUGCCGUGGGCGCUGGAGAACUGAGGGGGGCUGCUCCUAGUACGAGAGGACCGGAGUGGACGCAUCACUGGUGUUCGGGUUGUCAUGCCAAUGGCACUGCCCGGUAGCUAAAUGCGGAAGAGAUAAGUGCUGAAAGCAUCUAAGCACGAAACUUGCCCCGAGAUGAGUUCUCCCUGACCCUUUAAGGGUCCUGAAGGAACGUUGAAGACGACGACGUUGAUAGGCCGGGUGUGUAAGCGCAGCGAUGCGUUGAGCUAACCGGUACUAAUGAACCGUGAGGCUUAACCUU